GGACAACCACGAAGAAAUGGACAAAUUCUCAGAAACGUACAACCUUCCAAGACUGAACCAUGAAGAAAUAGAAAAUAUGAACAGACCAGUAACAAGUAAUGAAAGUGAAACUGUUAUUAGAAAUCUUUAAACAAGCAAAACUCCAGACAAGAUGGCUUUACAGGCGAGUACUACCAAACAUUUAGAGAAGAGCUAACACUGAUCCUUCUCAAACUCUUCCA